GAUGAACGCGGGCGGCGUGCUUAAUACAUGCAAGUAGAACGCUGAAGCUUGGUGCUUGCACCGAGCGGUGAGUUGCGAACGGGUGAGUAACGCGUAGGUAACCUGCCUCUAAGCGGGGGAUAACUAUUGGAAACGAUAGCUAAUACCGCAUAAAAGUCGAUAUCGCAUGAUGUUAAUUUGAAAGGUGCAAUUGCAUCACUAAGAGAUGGACCUGCGUUGUAUAGCUAGUUGGUGAGGUAACGGCUCACCAAGGCGACGAUACAUAGCCGACCUGAGAGGGUGAUCGGCCACACUGGGACUGAGACACGGCCCAGACUCCUACGGGAGGCAGCAGUAGGGAAUCUUCGGCAAUGGGGGCAACCCUGACCGAGCAACGCCGCGUGAGUGAAGAAGGUUUUCGGAUCGUAAAGCUCUGUUGUAAGAGAAGAACGAGUGUGAGAGUGGAAAGUUCACACUGUGACGGAACUACCAAAAGGCGCA
rnacentral:rRNA from 1 species